rfam:Opisthorchis viverrini opera_v5_379.7, whole genome shotgun sequence.
GGCAGUGUGGCCGAGCGCUCUAAGGCGUUGGCUUUAGGCAGCAGUCCGAAAGAGCGUGGCUUCGAAUCUCACCACUGUUA